rnacentral:rRNA from 1 species
AUGUACAUUCCUACAACAUAGUGUUAAUGCAUCAGAUCCCAUUAUAACUCCACAGUUAAGCGCGCUCAGAAUAGAGUAGUAUUGGGAUGGGUGACUGCCCGAGAAGUCCUAGUGUUUUACAUG